UACGUAGGGCGCAAGCGUUAUCCGGAAUUAUUGGGCGUAAAGAGCUCGUAGGCGGUUUGUCGCGUCUGCCGUGAAAGUCCGGGGCUCAACUCCGGAUCUGCGGUGGGUACGGGCAGACUAGAGUGAUGUAGGGGAGACUGGAAUUCCUGGUGUAGCGGUGAAAUGCGCAGAUAUCGAGAGGAACACCUGCGGCGAAGGCGGGUUGCUGGGCUGAUACUGACGCUGAGGCGCGAAAGCCAGGGGAGCGAACGGG
rnacentral:rRNA from 1 species